rnacentral:rRNA from 1 species
CCUACGGGGCGCAGCAGUAGGGAAUAUUGCUCAAUGGUGGAAACCCUGAAGCAGCAACGCCGCGUGGGGGAUGAAGGUUUUCGGAUUGUAAACUCCUUUUGUUAGAGAAGAUAAUGACGGUAUCUAACGAAUAAGCACCGUCUAACUCCGUGCCAGCAGCCGCCGUAAUACGGAGGGUGCAAGCGUUACUCGGCAUCACUGGGCGUAAAGAGCGCGUCGGCGGGAUAGCAAGUCAGAUGUGAAAUCCUAGGGCUUAACCAUAGAACUGCAUUUGAAACUGUUAUUCUAGAGUAUGGGAGAGGUAGGUGGAAUUCUUGGUGUAGGGGUAAAAUGCGUAGAGAUCGAGAGGAAUACUCAUUGCGAAGGCGACAUGCUAGAACAUAACUGACGCUGAUGCGCGAAAGCGUGGGGAGCAAACAGGAUUAGAUACCCGAGUAGUC